GGACUGACACUGUCCUCCUUCAUGCAGGAGGGCUCUCUCCCUCGACUCCUUCCUCCUCCCCUUUCCUGGAGCACCGGAUGUCUUCCAGGUGACCGUGUGGGAAACAUGUGUUCCCAACUGACCUAGAAGAGAUGAAAGGAACCUAUUAUGUGGAAGAAAUAGAGACAAUCAUCAUGGACAACCUCUUCCACAAAUUAAGUGCCAACAAGUCAAGGUGUUUUCCAGGGACCUCUGCCCAAGGUUUAAAGAGCAGACACUUCCAGCACAGUUAAAACUUCCCCAGAAUGUACAGAAAGAAGAAAAACAUCCGAAUUAUACUUUGUCAUGAAUAGAGCCUUGAAUGAAUCCAAAACAUAAACACAAUAUGGUACUGAA